rnacentral:rRNA from 1 species
UUAAGCGACUAAGCGUACACGGUGGAUGCCCUGGCAGUCAGAGGCGAUGAAGGACGUGCUAAUCUGCGAUAAGCGUCGGUAAGGUGAUAUGAACCGUUAUAACCGGCGAUUUCCGAAUGGGGAAACCCAGUGUGAUUCGUCACACUAUCAUUAACUGAAUCCAUAGGUUAAUGAGGCGAACCGGGGGAACUGAAACAUCUAAGUACCCCGAGGAAAAGAAAUCAACCGAGAUUCCCCCAGUAGCGGCGAGCGAACGGGGAGCAGCCCAGAGCCUGAAUCAGUGUGUGUGUUAGUGGAAGCGUCUGGAAAGGCGCGCGAUACAGGGUGACAGCCCCGUACACAAAAAUGCACAUACUGUGAGCUCGAUGAGUAGGGCGGGACACGUGGUAUCCUGUCUGAAUAUGGGGGGACCAUCCUCCAAGGCUAAAUACUCCUGACUGACCGAUAGUGAACCAGUACCGUGAGGGAAAGGCGAAAAGAACCCCGGCGAGGGGAGUGAAAAAGAACCUGAAACCGUGUACGUACAAGCAGUGGGAGCACAGAGCAAUCUGUGUGACUGCGUACCUUUUGUAUAAUGGGUCAGCGACUUAUAUUCUGUAGCAAGGUUAACCGAAUAGGGGAGCCGAAGGGAAACCGAGUCUUAACUGGGCGUUAAGUUGCAGGGUAUAGACCCGAAACCCGGUGAUCUAGCCAUGGGCAGGUUGAAGGUUGGGUAACACUAACUGGAGGACCGAACCGACUAAUGUUGAAAAAUUAGCGGAUGACUUGUGGCUGGGGGUGAAAGGCCAAUCAAACCGGGAGAUAGCUGGUUCUCCCCGAAAGCUAUUUAGGUAGCGCCUCGUGAAUUCAUCUCCGGGGGUAGAGCACUGUUUCGGCAAGGGGGUCAUCCCGACUUACCAACCCGAUGCAAACUGCGAAUACCGGAGAAUGUUAUCACGGGAGACACACGGCGGGUGCUAACGUCCGUCGUGAAGAGGGAAACAACCCAGACCGCCAGCUAAGGUCCCAAAGUCAUGGUUAAGUGGGAAACGAUGUGGGAAGGCCCAGACAGCCAGGAUGUUGGCUUAGAAGCAGCCAUCAUUUAAAGAAAGCGUAAUAGCUCACUGGUCGAGUCGGCCUGCGCGGAAGAUGUAACGGGGCUAAACCAUGCACCGAAGCUGCGGCAGCGACACUAUGUGUUGUUGGGUAGGGGAGCGUUCUGUAAGCCUGUGAAGGUGUACUGUGAGGUAUGCUGGAGGUAUCAGAAGUGCGAAUGCUGACAUAAGUAACGAUAAAGCGGGUGAAAAGCCCGCUCGCCGGAAGACCAAGGGUUCCUGUCCAACGUUAAUCGGGGCAGGGUGAGUCGACCCCUAAGGCGAGGCCGAAAGGCGUAGUCGAUGGGAAACAGGUUAAUAUUCCUGUACUUGGUGUUACUGCGAAGGGGGGACGGAGAAGGCUAUGUUGGCCGGGCGACGGUUGUCCCGGUUUAAGCGUGUAGGCUGGUUUUCCAGGCAAAUCCGGAAAAUCAAGGCUGAGGCGUGAUGACGAGGCACUACGGUGCUGAAGCAACAAAUGCCCUGCUUCCAGGAAAAGCCUCUAAGCAUCAGGUAACAUCAAAUCGUACCCCAAACCGACACAGGUGGUCAGGUAGAGAAUACCAAGGCGCUUGAGAGAACUCGGGUGAAGGAACUAGGCAAAAUGGUGCCGUAACUUCGGGAGAAGGCACGCUGAUAUGUAGGUGAAGUCCCUCGCGGAUGGAGCUGAAAUCAGUCGAAGAUACCAGCUGGCUGCAACUGUUUAUUAAAAACACAGCACUGUGCAAACACGAAAGUGGACGUAUACGGUGUGACGCCUGCCCGGUGCCGGAAGGUUAAUUGAUGGGGUCAGCGCAAGCGAAGCUCUUGAUCGAAGCCCCGGUAAACGGCGGCCGUAACUAUAACGGUCCUAAGGUAGCGAAAUUCCUUGUCGGGUAAGUUCCGACCUGCACGAAUGGCGUAAUGAUGGCCAGGCUGUCUCCACCCGAGACUCAGUGAAAUUGAACUCGCUGUGAAGAUGCAGUGUACCCGCGGCAAGACGGAAAGACCCCGUGAACCUUUACUAUAGCUUGACACUGAACAUUGAGCCUUGAUGUGUAGGAUAGGUGGGAGGCUUUGAAGUGUGGACGCCAGUCUGCAUGGAGCCGACCUUGAAAUACCACCCUUUAAUGUUUGAUGUUCUAACGUUGACCCGUAAUCCGGGUUGCGGACAGUGUCUGGUGGGUAGUUUGACUGGGGCGGUCUCCUCCUAAAGAGUAACGGAGGAGCACGAAGGUUGGCUAAUCCUGGUCGGACAUCAGGAGGUUAGUGCAAUGGCAUAAGCCAGCUUGACUGCGAGCGUGACGGCGCGAGCAGGUGCGAAAGCAGGUCAUAGUGAUCCGGUGGUUCUGAAUGGAAGGGCCAUCGCUCAACGGAUAAAAGGUACUCCGGGGAUAACAGGCUGAUACCGCCCAAGAGUUCAUAUCGACGGCGGUGUUUGGCACCUCGAUGUCGGCUCAUCACAUCCUGGGGCUGAAGUAGGUCCCAAGGGUAUGGCUGUUCGCCAUUUAAAGUGGUACGCGAGCUGGGUUUAGAACGUCGUGAGACAGUUCGGUCCCUAUCUGCCGUGGGCGCUGGAGAACUGAGGGGGGCUGCUCCUAGUACGAGAGGACCGGAGUGGACGCAUCACUGGUGUUCGGGUUGUCAUGCCAAUGGCACUGCCCGGUAGCUAAAUGCGGAAGAGAUAAGUGCUGAAAGCAUCUAAGCACGAAACUUGCCCCGAGAUGAGUUCUCCCUGACUCCUUGAGAGUCCUGAAGGAACGUUGAAGACGACGACGUUGAUAGGCCGGGUGUGUAAGCGCAGCGAUGCGUUGAGCUAACCGGUACUAAUGAACCGUGAGGCUUAACCUU